rnacentral:rRNA from 1 species
AGGUAUGUUGUACGAGAGAGCAUGUUAUACCACUGGAUCUCAUCAGAACUCCGCAGUUAAGCGUGCUUGGGCGAGAGUAGUGCUAGGAUGGGUGACCUCCUGGGAAGUCUUUGUGUUGCACCUC